CAGUAGCCGCGGGAAUACGUAGGGUGCGAGCGUUAAUCGGAAUUACUGGGCGUAAAGCGUGCGCAGGCGGUUAUAUAAGACAGAUGUGAAAUCCCCGGGCUCAACCUGGGACCUGCAUUUGUGACUGUAUAGCUAGAGUACGGUAGAGGGGGAUGGAAUUCCGCGUGUAGCAGUGAAAUGCGUAGAUAUGCGGAGGGACACCGAUGGCGAAGGCAAUCCCCUGGACCUGUACUGACGCUCAUGCACGAAAGCGUGGGGAGCAAACAGGAUUAGAUACCCCUGUAGUCCCUGUCUCUUAUAC
rnacentral:rRNA from 1 species